rnacentral:rRNA from 1 species
GGACUACCGGGGUAUCUAAUCCUGUUUGCUCCCCACGCUUUCGUUCCUCAGCGUCAGUAAUCGGCCAGGUGGUCGCCUUCGCCUCUGAUGUUCCUGCAGAUCUCUACGGAUGUCACUCCUACACCUACAAUUCCACCACCCUCUACGAUACUCAAGAAACACAGUUUCAAAUGCACGUCCCAAGUUUAGCUCGGGGAUUUCACACUUGACUUACAUUUCAGCCUACAAACCCUUUACGCCCAGUAAUUCCGAACAACGCUCGCACCCUUCGUAUUACCGCGGCUGCUGGCAC